ACUUGAGCUCACUUGUCACAAUGGAAUUCAAUUAUCUGCUGGAGAGAAGCCCUGACAGCUGUGGCGUAGGUUUUUCAAUGUGAUGUUGCCUGGAUCGCAAGAAAAAUAUCAAGGGCUGGUGAGAACAGCCAUGUUCUAAAAGCAUCUCCGCCUGGGUUAGACCACUGCCUACCAAAGAGGGCGUAAGUUGGAAGCACAGUGUUUGUUUACCACAUUGCCCCUGGGUUUGCCUCUGGCUUGUGCAUCCUGGGGGAGAGGCAGUGGGUCUGCUGCUGGUUCCUCAAACAUUGACAUCUGUGAUGGCCUUCUGUAGUGAAAGCAUUUUCCUAGCAGCAGCAUCAGGAUCCAGGAACAUUGUCCCUCAACCACUGUGGGAAAUCUGUGAGAGCCAAGCUGCACCACACCAGAGGCUAACAUGCAUGUCUUUUGGGAAAUCCUG